CCUGUGAGGGUUGCUGGAGGUAUCAGAAGUGCGAAUGCUGACAUAAGUAACGAUAAAGCGGGUGAAAAGCCCGCUCGCCGGAAGACCAAGGGUUCCUGUCCAACGUUAAUCGGGGCAGGGUGAGUCGACCCCUAAGGCGAGGCCGAAAGGCGUAGUCGAUGGGAAACGGGUUAAUAUUCCCGUACUUGGUGUUACUGCGAAGGGGGGACGGAGAAGGCUAUGUUGGCCGGGCGACGGUUGUCCCGGUUUAAGCGUGUAGGUGUGUGUUCCAGGUAAAUCCGGUUCACUUUAACACUGAGGCGUGACGACGAGGCACUACGGUGCUGAAGCAACAAAUGCCCUGCUUCCAGGAAAAGCCUCUAAGCAUCAGGUAACAUCAAAUCGUACCCCAAACCGACACAGGUGGUCAGGUAGAGAAUACCAAGGCGCUUGAGAGAACUCGGGUGAAGGAACUAGGCAAAAUGGUGCCGUAACUUCGGGAGAAGGCACGCUGACACGUAGGUGAAGUGAUUUACUCAUGGAGCUGAAGUCAGUCGAAGAUACCAGCUGGCUGCAACUGUUUAUUAAAAACACAGCACUGUGCAAACACGAAAGUGGACGUAUACGGUGUGACGCCUGCCCGGUGCCGGAAGGUUAAUUGAUGGGGUCAGCGCAAGCGAAGCUCCUGAUCGAAGCCCCGGUAAACGGCGGCCGUAACUAUAACGGUCCUAAGGUAGCGAAAUUCCUUGUCGGGUAAGUUCCGACCUGCACGAAUGGCGUAAUGAUGGCCAGGCUGUCUCCACCCGAGACUCAGUGAAAUUGAACUCGCUGUGAAGAUGCAGUGUACCCGCGGCAAGACGGAAAGACCCCGUGAACCUUUACUAUAGCUUGACACUGAACAUUGAGCCUUGAUGUGUAGGAUAGGUGGGAGGCUUUGAAGUGUGGACGCCAGUCUGCAUGGAGCCGACCUUGAAAUACCACCCUUUAAUGUUUGAUGUUCUAACGUGGACCCGUAAUCCGGGUUGCGGACAGUGUCUGGUGGGUAGUUUGACUGGGGCGGUCUCCUCCUAAAGAGUAACGGAGGAGCACGAAGGUUGGCUAAUCCUGGUCGGACAUCAGGAGGUUAGUGCAAUGGCAUAAGCCAGCUUGACUGCGAGCGUGACGGCGCGAGCAGGUGCGAAAGCAGGUCAUAGUGAUCCGGUGGUUCUGAAUGGAAGGGCCAUCGCUCAACGGAUAAAAGGUACUCCGGGGAUAACAGGCUGAUACCGCCCAAGAGUUCAUAUCGACGGCGGUGUUUGGCACCUCGAUGUCGGCUCAUCACAUCCUGGGGCUGAAGUAGGUCCCAAGGGUAUGGCUGUUCGCCAUUUAAAGUGGUACGCGAGCUGGGUUUAGAACGUCGUGAGACAGUUCGGUCCCUAUCUGCCGUGGGCGCUGGAGAACUGAGGGGGGCUGCUCCUAGUACGAGAGGACCGGAGUGGACGCAUCACUGGUGUUCGGGUUGUCAUGCCAAUGGCACUGCCCGGUAGCUAAAUGCGGAAGAGAUAAGUGCUGAAAGCAUCUAAGCACGAAACUUGCCCCGA
rnacentral:rRNA from 1 species